rnacentral:rRNA from 1 species
AGGACGAACGCUGGCGGCGUGCUUAACACAUGCAAGUCGAGCGGUAAGGCCUUUCGGGGUACACGAGCGGCGAACGGGUGAGUAACACGUGGGUGAUCUGCCCUGCACUCUGGGAUAAGCCUGGGAAACUGGGUCUAAUACCGGAUAUGACCUGCUCUCGCAGUGGGGGGUGGGUGGAAAGAUUUAUCGGUGCAGGAUGGGCCCGCGGCCUAUCAGCUUGUUGGUGGGGUAAUGGCCUACCAAGGCGACGACGGGUAGCCGACCUGAGAGGGUGACCGGCCACGACUGGGACUGAGACACGGCCCAGACUCCUACGGGAGGCAGCAGUGGGAAUAUGCACAAUGGGACGAAAGCCUGAUGCAGCGACGCCGCGUGAGGAUGGAAGGCCGUU